rnacentral:rRNA from 1 species
UACGAGGGGGGCAAGCGUUGUUCGGAAUUAUUGGGCGUAAAGGGCGCGUAGGCGGCCUGGCAAGUGGAAGGUGAAAUCCCUCGGCUUAACCGAGGAACUGCCCUCCAAACUGCCUGGCUUGAGUCCGGGAGAGGUGAGUGGAAUUCCCAGUGUAGCGGUGAAAUGCGUAGAUAUUGGGAGGAACACCAGUGGCGAAGGCGGCUCACUGGACCGGAACUGACGCUGAGGCGCGAAAGCGUGGGGAGCAAACGGG